GGCGCUGGCCAAUAAACUGGCGACUUGGGAGGAGCCAGCCAAUCAGGAUACUGGAAGGGCGGGCGUAGUGGUUGGUUAACAUACAGAAAGCGGAAGUACUGAUUCUGCCGUCUCUGGUUGGUAGGACGAGUCAGGUGACCAAAGACUGCGACCAAUGGGAUCGGAGGAAGAAGGAAUUCCCGGGAAUUUCUGGUGUGGUCUCAGUCGUGGAGGCGAAAGGGCGGUUGCGGUCUUCCACCGCUCGUGGCCUCGCCGUCUCAACGUGCGGGUGCUGGAAUCUGCACCUCCUCGCUGCGCGAGGAAGAGCUCCUGCGCUUCCGAUAUAUUUGCUUGGCGAUGAACGCGGGCAGCCUCACCUUUGCUCGGGGCUGUUUACCUUAGCCCCAUGCGCAGCUUCUUGAGCUAAGUUACUAGUUUGUAUCCCUGGCUGCAUAUCAUUUCCCCCCCCCCCCCAGAAGAGCGGGUAGCGCUCUUUUCGGGAAGAUUUAAAACUAGCCUGUCUGCGGAGGGGCGUGUGUCCGUUCUGCAGGUGAUUCUAAGGCGAGGCAGUGCUGAGAAUCAUUGCACUGGAUUAUUUGCAUUGAUGGAUGUUUUACAAAUAGUAUCAGUGAUCCUUGCAAUAGUCCUGGGAGCUAAACACAAUCAUGCAGUAUUGAUUUUAGCUGCUGGGGUUUGAACUCAGGGCCUCUAAGUGCGUGCUUUCCCCUGAGCUACUCCCUCAGCCUCUCUUCUGCCCUUUUAAUUACGUAAAACGCAAGUUUCAGAAGUGACUGGCCCGGCCUCAGCAAUUUAGGGAGUCCCUCAGAAACCUAGUGAGACCCUGUCUCAAACUAAAAAAGAAUAAAAUGGCUGGAGUUGUAGCUCAGUGGUAAAUCACAAUUGGGACCAAAUCCCCAGUGCCAAAAAAGGGUUCACUCAAAAUGACACAGUCUGUAAAUGGUGCUUCCAUCUUUCCCAGAAGAGGAAGACGGUGAUAAGUCCAGUGAAAGUGUACUUUCACUGUGUCACACUGUGAGUAAAGGUCACAAAACUCUGAGUUUUUUCUUCUUUUGUCAGUAGCAGUCUAUCUAACAAGGAACUGCUAAUUUUACACACUUUACCUCUAAUUCCCUUGCCACUCACUUUUGAGUUUGAGCUGCAGUUAAGUAGCCCAUGCAGAGGCUGCCCUGCUUCCACAGUGUGUGGGACCUUCUUUCCUUCUUCCAUGCCUGUGGCCACAUGUGUCUCUGGAACGUUGAAAUGUCUGGAUUCUUUCCUACAGGACGAACUUCUUUGUGACCCUACACUGCAGUACCACAGGAGCCUUCCUGCAGAACCUCAGCUUCCUCUGAGCUGCCCCAGGUGGGGAGCUUCCUGGGACCCCACUGCUGCAGGUGAUGACCUCAUGAAAACAUCUCUGAAGUACUGUCCUCCCACCUAGAGUCCCUCUGAGUUUCCCAAGAUGUCAAAGGAACAAAGUGUGAUCUGAUGAGCAUCUUGUGAUGAAUCCAAGCUCCUCACUCCCCUACCCACAGGCAACAGUACCUUCCUUAUCUCAACAAGGCCUGCCUGACCAAUCCUGAGAUAAUGAUGGACAGACCACACCUGAUCAAGAUCACCUGCUUUGGGCUUGUGCAUAGUGGCACACACCUGUAAUCCCAGCAGCUCAGGAGGCUGAGGUAGGAGGAUCACAAGUUCAAAGCCAGCCUCAGCAACUUGGUUAUGCCCUAGGCAACUUAGUGAGACCGUCUCAAAAUAAAAUUUUUUUAAGAAAGGCUGGGGAUGUGGCUUAGUGGUUAAGCCCCUCUGGGUUCAAUUCCUCAUGCCAAAAAAGGAAAGAGAUCACUGCUUUGGCAGCUAUGAAAAGCCUCCAGCUGUGCAGACCCCAAACCCUUGCUCUCAUUCCCCUUUUGAUAAAACCUCAGAGUCACAGUUG